GAUGAACGCUGGCGGCGUGCCUAAUACACGCAAGUCGAGCGAACGGACGAGAAGCUUGCUUCUCUGAUGUUAGCGGCGGACGGGUGAGUAACACGUGGAUAACCUACCUAUAAGACUGGGAUAACUUCGGGAAACCGGAGCUAAUACCGGAUAAUAUUUUGAACCGCAUGGUUCAAAAGUGAAAGACGGUCUUGCUGUCACUUAUAGAUGGAUCCGCGCUGCAUUAGCUAGUUGGUAAGGUAACGGCUUACCAAGGCAACGAUGCAUAGCCGACCUGAGAGGGUGAUCGGCCACACUGGAACUGAGACACGGUCCAGACUCCUACGGGAGGCAGCAGUAGGGAAUCUUCCGCAAUGGGCGAAAGCCUGACGGAGCAACGCCGCGUGAGUGAUGAAGGUCUUCGGAUCGUAAAACUCUGUUAUUAGGGAAGAACAUAUGUGUAAGUAACUGUGCACAUCUUGACGAUACCUAAUCAGAAAGCCACGGCUAACUACGUG
rnacentral:rRNA from 1 species